CCGAGCAGAAAAACCUAAAUAUAAAAAAAUGAUCGCUGAGAGACAACAACUUAAUCAACCUUUGAGGAUCCAGAUUUUCUUGAAGCCACCAAGCAAGGCCUCGUAAUAUAACCUACGACCAAUGGAGUAACUGUCGAGAUAAAGGCUCAAAUCUUCAGCCCCUUUGGUCAAUUUGUCACCAGAAAAAAGAAUAAUUUCCGGUUUCGAGAGGAAAUAGAAAUGGUGAAGGUCACUAGAAGGUAGUUCAUCGGGAGAAAAAACUGCUUUCCAAUUGCGUUGUGGAGGGGAAGAAGCUCCACCACCGGAGGAGACGAGUGGAGGAAAGUCAGAGUGGAGUAAGGAAGUUUCCAUGGAGGAGAAAUGGGGGUGGAGCCGGAGGGAAGAAAGAGGCCGGGUAGAACCGGUAGAGUGGAGGAAAAAAUCCUAGCUCGACCUCCUGUGUGUUGUAUGUUUCUUUUUUUCUGGUAUAAAUCUCACUAUUUUCUUUCCUCUUAAUUCCUUCGGUCCAUGCACAGAGGCCAAAUAGUAUAUGGAAGAAGUUAGACAGGAAGGAGUAGAAAUCCAGAUAAGAGGACGACGGAAUGCUCGAGGGUUUAUUGCGCUUAGGAGAAGCGAUCGGAGCUGUCGAGCUGCCAGGAAGGAGCAGCUUCUCGAGCAGGUACUCGUGUGAUUUGAAGGAGUUAGGGCAUCGUCGAUCUUCCUUCUUCCGAAAGCUUUGCGAGGAAGAAAGAUAUUGUGCGGUGCUCUACUCAUCAUUACAAUUUGCUGCAGAUCUGCUUCAUUUUGAACUCGAUGAGAUCUUGACGUCAAAUUUGAUGUCUGUGACAACGAAUUUCAUGCUUGAGAAAUGAAGAGGUUUCUUAAAGGGAAACGGUUGGUUCAUGGUAGCUCUAGCUCCCAACGUCAUGUAGAUGAAGUUAUCUCCAGCAAUCCUAAAAGUACGUCUAGGAUUGCUAGGUGGCCCGAGGAGCACAAUGUUGUGCUAGCCGAGCUUCUAUAUGAGCAAUUCGUACAUGGAAAUAUAUGUAAUGGUCUCUUAAGGAAGAAGUAGUCGCCGAAUCUUAUUAAUGUCUUGAAUAGACAUUUGGGUACAUAUUACACAGAUUCUUCAAUCAUGAUUAGAUUCAAAAAUAUGAAAGAUGAUUUCUGUACACUAUAUCAACUAACAAAUCGAAGUGGUUGGGAUGAGGAAUUACACAUACUAAUUGCUACUGAAGAGCUUUGGGAGGAAAUUGUUCAGGUUACACCAAAGCUUUCACGAUAUCGUUGGCAUCCAUUCCACUAAUAUGAAAUUUUUGAAAAAAUUUGCUCAGAUAAUAUCGCAGUAGGUAAUGGUUGCUAGAUCCAAUAAGACAAAAUCUGCAAUAGUAAUUUUAUGGAAUGCUCGGAUUGCAAGUCAAAGAAAUCGAUCAUCGUGAAAAUAAAUUGGCUCCUAAGAAAUAGAUAUGAAGACAUCUACAUAUUAAAAGCAUUCUCUAAUUUAAUGCUUAAUCUGUCAUUUUGGUCAAUAUUGCUUUGUAAUUUGCUCUUUAUUGAAUUUUCGAUCAUUUUGUGUGAA